AGCACGUACAUGUGAUCCCCCUCUCACUCUGAUUCCAAGGUUGUUUCUCUCCAUAUUCCAUUCCUCUCACAAUUUGUUUCUUUUCCUAGGCUUUUACUUUAUCAUGUGCGUGCUAUGCUUCUCACAAAAUAUCUAAUUCUGUUGCUUUUCAUGUCUAUGUAAGCAUUAUGUUCUCCUUUGUUUAAUUUCAUUAUUGCUAUGAAAAGAGAAAUCAAGGAUUACUUUUCUUGGUACAUAUGCAGUGUAUUUAUGUUUCGUGUGGUAACAGUUCAGUUAGAGGUGAGAUGCAUCGACAUACAUGGUUGAAGGCUAUACAUUAGUUGGAUAGAUAGAUUGAGCAAUACACCUGUUGCGCCAUCAUCGAUGAAUUAACAGAAGAAUAGAUGGUGCGUUUGGCAAAAUAUCCAAUAGUCAGCGUUGGUGUUUAGUGGGUUUUAAGCAUUUCUGGCAGCUCUCUUCCUACCUUAUUCUUUCAUUUAUAUCUUGUAUUUUAAUAGGUCAAGCUUGUGCUUAGUUUGCUUGAAUGUAACUUGCUUCCUUUCUGUUGAGGAAGACAAUGGCUCUCAGUUGCCAUGUUCAGACUUAAUCGCUUGAAUCAGUUGCAUAAUGGACAUGUUGUCGAAGAAAGGCAGGGUUUGAGAAAUCUGAAAGAGCUUGAGAAUUUAUAUGGCCAGAAGAAGGCCAAGAGUGCAUAAGGGGUUAUUUGUACCAUAGAAAAAGUAAUAUGCCUUGGUUCAGUUUACACAUUUGAACUCACGCCUUUUAAAGAAUGACAUUUGUGGUUGAAAAUUGAUUACUUGAGAAGUUGAGAACCUGAAAAUGUUUGUCUGUAAUGCAUCUAUUUGUGUGUCAGACACUUCUCCGUUUCUCACAGAACACAACCUUGUAUGUUUUUGGCACAUGUUUUCAAAUGCUCACGCUAGAUCCGAUAGUAUGUAUCCAUAAUUGGUUUUCAGUUUUUGUUCUAAUUUAUUCCCAUAAAGAGUAUCAACAUGCUCUAAUUUAUAGCGAGAUUUAGUCCAGUAUUACUAAUCAUAGGUGUGCUUUUAUGCAGGUUAUGUUGCUGAUGGUAGGUGUCACUCUGGAUUGCAGAAAACAUGAUAAGAGCAUGGAGAUGGAUUGCUGCAUAUAUAUGCUACCCACACUACCAUUUUCUUGAUCAUGUGUGUAGAGUUGAACUACUCGUUUCAUAUAUCCUUAAUUCUUAUUCCUUUUAAUCUCCAUAUGACAUAGAAGGUUCUGGUUGCUCUAUUAACAUGAUCGGAUUUUGUGUGUCUUUUUGCAUACAACAUGAUAAGAGCAUGGAUGGAUUGCUGCAAAUUCAUGUUGUUGUUGCGGGAUCAUGCCGGCCCUCCCUUGUGCUAGCCAGCCAUCAGGACCGACUGCGGUUGGUUCAUGCCGACGCGGCUGUGGCUCCCUGUGCUGCUCCUCUCAUGUUGCAUCUUCUUCCUCGCGGGCUUCUUUGGCUCCCUCCUCUUCACCCAGGUAACUGUUGGGGAACGUAGUAAUUUCAAAAAAAAAUCCUACGCACACGCAAGAUCAUGGUGAUGCAUAGCAACGAGAGGGGAGAGUGUUGUCCACGUACCCUCGUAGACCGAUAGCGGAAGCGUUAUCACAACGCGGUUGAUGUAGUCGUACAUCUUCACGAUCCGACCGAUCAAGUACCGAACGCACGGCACCUCCGAGUUCUACACACGUUCAGCUCGAUGACGUCCCUCGAACUCCGAUCCAGCCGAGUGUUGAGGGAGAGUUCCGUUAGCACGAAGGCGUGGUGACGAUGAUGAUGUUCCACCGACGCAGGGCUUCGCCUAAGCUCCGCAACGAUAUUAUCGAGGUGUAAUAUGGUGGAGGGGGGCACCGCACACGGCUAAGAGAUCUCAAGGAUCAAUUGUUGUCUCUGGGGUGCCCCCCUGCCCCCGUAUAUAAAGGAGCAAGGGGGGGGGGUAGCCGGCCAAGGAGGAGGGCGCGCCAAGGGGGGAGUCCUACUCCCACCGGGAGUAGGACUCCUCCUUUCCUUGUGGGAGUAGGAGAAGGGAAGGGGGAAGGAGAAAGAAGGAAGGGUGCGCCCCCCUUCCCUAGUCCAAUUCGGACCAGACCAUGGGGAGGGGUGCGGUCACCUUUUGAGGCCUUUCUCUCCUUUCCCGUAUGGCCCAUUAAGGCCCAAUACGAAUUCCCGUAACUCUCCGGUACUCCGAAAAAUACCCGAAUCACUCGGAACCUUUCCGAAGUCCGAAUAUAGUCGUCCAAUAUAUCGAUUUUUACGUCUCGACCAUUUCGAGACUCCUCGUCAUAUCUCCGAUCUCAUCCGGGACUCCGAACUCCUUCGGUACAUCAAAACUCAAUAAAACUGUCAUCGUAACGUUAAGCGUGCGGACCCUACGGGUUCGAGAACUAUGUAGACAUGACCGAGACACGUCUCCGGUCAAUAACCAAUAGCGGGACCUGGAUGCCCAUAUUGGCUCCCACAUAUUCUACGAAGAUCUUUAUCGGUCAGACCGCAUAACAACAUACGUUGUUCCCUUUGUCACCGGUAUGUUACUUGCCCGGGAUUUGAUCGUCGGUAUCUCGAUACCUAGUUCAAUCUCGCUACCGGCAAGUCUCUUUACUCGUUCCGUAACACAUCAUCCCGCAACUAACUCAUUAGUCACAAUGCUUGCAAGGCUUAUAGUGAUGUGCAUUACCGAGUGGGCCCAGAGAUACCUCUCCGACAAUUGGAGUGACAAAUCCUAAUCUCGAAAUACGCCAACCCAACAAGUACCUUUGGAGACACCUGUAGAGCACCUUUAUAAUCACCCAUUUACGUUGUGACGUUUGGUAGCACACAAAGUGUUCCUCCGGUAAACGGGAGUUGCAUAAUCUCAUAGUCAUAGGAACAUGUAUAAGUCAUGAAGAAAGCAAUAGCAACAUACUAAACGAUCGGGUGCUAAGCUAACGGAAUGGGUCAAGUCAAUCACGUCAUUCUCCUAAUGAGGUGAUCCCGUUAAUCAAAUGACAACUCAUGUCUAUGGCUAGGAAACAUAACCAUAUUUGAUUAACGAGCUAGUCAAGUAGAGGCAUACUAGUGACACUCUGUUUGUCUAUGUAUUCACACAUGUAUUAUGUUUCCGGUUAAUACAAUUCUAGCAUGAAUAAUAAACAUUUAUCAUGAUAUAAGGAAAUAUAUAAUACUUUAUUAUUGCCUCUAGGGCAUAUUUCCUUCAGUAACAUGGUGGGCCCAUGUUACCCCCGUCUCGCAAGUUCGUUUCGUCGCGCGCGGGCUUCUGAUCUGGGGUCGCUCUGUCGGUUGUUCCAUGGCAGGAUACGCAGGGGGAGGAGGACAUGGAGCAGCCACUGCCAAGGGAACGGUUGCUCUAUUUACCCUUAUUGUCGGUUUCACUUGCCUAGCCUAGGUAUGCUGAGAUAAUCAUUAUGUGAGGUGAUCUAUCCAUUUUCAGAGUUCCCUCAUUAGUAUCCCUCAUUGUUAAUUGCUAUGCUUAAUUGGAUACUCUGUGUUGUGUUGUUUGCCUUAUUUUGACCCAAAUAAACCACCCCAUUACCAUAUUUUACACUAAUGCCAUAUUUAAUCAUUGACAUAACUUUGGAGGUUUAGUUCAAUUAAAAAGAUGAUGCCAUGUGACUGGAAAGUAUAUAUGUUCAGAUUAUAAUUUAAAUGGAUACGGUGAUUGGCAAUAGAUAAAUCAUAUUAGCCUUGCAUUGCAGAUUAUUUCCUUUUUGUGGUUGGCAUGAAUGGCUUUUGUACUCAAUGGUUUAAGCAGUUGCUCUUUGAAAUAUAAUUUUUCUAUGUAAGAUCUUACCGGCUGUUCUAUUAUUUAAAAUCAUUUGCCAUGUUUGUACUCUUGCUGAAGUUUGAAGAGUUUCCCGGGGGUGGCGAGGAGUACCGGCAUAUCGAGUCCCUGGUGUUUUCCUCUACGAGCUGGGGAGGGCGUGUGGUUCUCUCCUCGUCGGUUUCACUUCUCCCCUUCCUCCUCCAUGGUGCUCAAAAAUAUCACUGACUGCGUGAAUUUAAAAAAUUUGUAGUCUUAUACAAAUAGAAAGAAUAUAUGAUCUAACCUUAUUUCUUAAUCCAACGGUAUCCUACUGCAUUAGUGUACGAGCUGUUACACACAAACAUGGCUUGAAGUUUUCGGAUAAAUGGGACAAACAUAGGGUUGCAGAUUGUAAAUCCAAGUUUUUUUCGCAAAUCAAUUUGACACUAAUCCUUAGAAAAAAGAUAUUUCUGUUGCAUAGAUUGCGUUGUAUAGGUUGUUGACUUGAUUUACAUCACUCCAGUUUUACGAUGGCACAAAAAUUAAUUUAAUUCUGUUAAUUGCAACUGCAACUCUUUCUCAUCACACACAAUGUUAACCUUAUAGAGCUAAGGUGGUUAUAGUUAGAAACCUCUACAAUAUCAUGGAUUGAUUUAGGGUUUCAAAAUAUUGUGAACUGUAAAACGUCUUAUAUUAUAGGACAGUGGUAGUAGUUAACAUGAUUGUUUCAGAUUCUGCCAUGGAAGCAUUUUACCCCUUUUGCAACUUUCGUUACACUAAAUUAGUACUGAAUUGUAAUAUUUCUUCUCUGGGUAUUUUACGUUACAGGAUUGGAACGAAAAGAAGAAACUACAGCGUCACAUAACUGCAGCAAAGAAGGUACUGCAUGAGAUGUAACAGGGUCGUAUUAUGGAAGGUUAGCUCUGAAUUAAUGUUCAUCAUAUGUGCUCUGUACUAAUGAUUGUCCUCAGGGAUUAUUCCAUUCAUAUUGCUCUGAAUUAAUCGUACUCUCAUGCUGCCUCAUUACCUUAUUAUGUUACAACUUUGCUGAAAAAGCCAUUGUUGGUAUCUGGAGUACAAACUGUAGAAUUAGGAUCCUCUGACAUCUAUUUACUACUCUGAAUUUAUUAUUAUUCAAUGACCAUAUAAAUACACAUUUCCAAAUAAUAUAUAUUAGUUUGUCUAUUCAAUGGUGUCAUUUUCCAUUUUUAUAGGCAUUCAGACCUCCCUGUUAUUUUUGUUCUAAGGAUGCACUUCAGUAUUAUGUAACUAUGCUGAUUUUACUGUCAGCAUAAAUAAUAGACGAGUUAAUAUUUCUGCUACAUAACUUUACACCGUAACAAAUCUGGAGACUUCUAACUGGAAGACACAAUUUUCAUUUUUGAAGCGAAGAACAGAAUCCCUGCUGUUCCACGGAGUGAGUACAGUUAAGGUAAAAAAAGGAAAAAGGAAGUCUGGAGCUCUCUCGGCUGUACAACAGAGGGGUUACUUCACGUACUCAUCAGCAGUGAGGCUAAUAUCAUCUCCAAUCAAGUGAAAAAGCAAGGGCGCAGCCUUAGUUUUCUGUUGGAAGACUUCUAUUUCUCUCAUUCCAGAGGUGCUAGCCUGUGCAAGCAGUGACAGUGUACUUUUUAUUGAUCUGAAUCUUCAGGCUUCAUUUUGAAAUUUUGGUCCACGAACGCUUGAUCGCAAAAGUAACAGGUAUCAUGGUGAGGCCAGUUUCUGUUUUGCAUGUUGCCUUAUUUCUCUUCUAUCUGCAGUUUGCUUCCACGUUCUAUAUGUUUGCGAGGAAAUUUCAAAUCGUUUUGUAUGCUCAUCAAUUGGUGCAUCUAGAAUAUGUAUGUGAACCGUGUACCUUACGGAUUCCUUAAGGGCCUCAUGAUUGUUGGUGUUUUUUUCCAUAUGAAAACACCAAGGUUAUUAUCCUAACUAUCAUAGUUUGUACCAGCAGGAUUAUCAUAACAAUUAUGCAAUUAUUUUCCAGGUGAUUACAUAGUUAAAGGUAGUGACUUUUUUAGUCCUAUGUGAUUUCUUAUCAACUGAGCUAUCAAAUUGUGCAUUAUGUACUUGGUCACAACGUUGUAACCGGCACCCUCGCGCGUUUCCGAUCUCAUUGGAUACUUUUGUACUUUAGUUAGAAGCAUAAUUGUCAGAAGCAAGCAUAAUGGCCAUAUGAUGAAGCCGAUAAGUGUUUAGUAGAGACUCCAAUCAAUUCGAUCUCUCCAUGAUCUUUACCGCAUAUGAUAUUUUCCUUCUGGGUAUUUAACUUUGUCAAGUGCAUGCUAUGGUUCAGAGCAAAAUUCAGUUUCCAGUUAUAAUUCAGUGAUUUUCUUACCUUGUAUUUUAUUUUGCAUAAUUGUAGAAAUUGCGGUGGCCAUCCGCGGAUCUACAGUCCCUGGUUUGCUUUGUCGAGGUAUGAUCUUUCAUAAUGUGUUGUAUCUUGCAAUAUUAUUUGAUUUGUUCUUGCCAUCAUUUUUUAGUCUCUUGCAAUAUUAUUUGAUUUAUUUCUCUCAUAAACAGAGCACAAGUUGCCCCUUCUAAUUGAUCUAUCUUGUAUCUAUAUGGUGCAGUGGUGUGUUAGAAUAUGUACAGUCCCAUGUUUUGGUUUCUGCAUUACUUUGUUGUUCUCUAAGCUGUACAAAUAGUGAGACCAAAUUAUGUUCAGUAUAUUCCUUACAUGGUAGAUCCACGGAUGUCCACCCCAAUUUCUACAAUUUUUUAAUACAACAAACUACCAUUUUUUAAUCAUACACUACCUCCUCUGACAGAGAUGGUCGUCGUCCCAUCUUUGUGGUUUAGGAAUAUGCUCUUUUAUUUUGCAAGCAGAAAAUUGAUUAAGGUUUGUGUGAUCAAGUUUAUGUGUUGCCUGCUAUGCAGUGUCCUGGGCAAGAGGACCAAGUGUGGGCGGGUAGGUAUCGGCAAGGCGGGCUGUCAGCAUGGUGUUGGAGUUGGUCGGUAGUGGUGCACCUACGCCACGUAUGGAUCAAUACUCUAGGAGGUUCCAUUGAGGCCCAGUCUAUCCAGGUAGUUUGUUAUACUACUGACUUAGAUACACUUUAUUUAUCAAGAAUUUUUGUAUAUCAUAAUAUCAAAGGCAAAAGGGUCUGUCUAUGGAUGCACUUCUUAUGGUCAUGUACAUUUCAGAGCCACUAUUAUUCAUCAAGAACAUAAUUUAACUAAAGCUCGUUAAAAAAAUUGCCCAUAGAAAUAAUCACUUUGGAUUGGUAGUGUCAAAAGGAUGCAGAACAUUUGUAACAUUUCUUCCCAUAUUCAUGAGACUUUCACUCUGCUGUUGCAUUAGUCAAGUUUAAUUUCAUUACAUAUGUGUGCAUGUAUCAGUUUUCAUAUUUAAAAUGAUAUAUUUAAGAAUUAUCAGAAAUUUUGCCAAAUUUGCUGGGCACAAAACAGAGAUCUGGAAGCAGGACAAACGUCACUGAUAUUUUGUUGGUCAUUUUUGGUGUCGCAUCUCAAAUGGAAUGGCACUCAUGGAGGCAAUUGAACCAAGCUAUGGCAUCGUAGUUUUAUCUCUCUAUUGCCACUGUUGGCUUUUGCUCUCUUGUGUUCCUGCUCAUAUUAUUGAACUUAAUGUUAGCUAAUUAGCUUUUGUAAUUAUACGACCGUG
rnacentral:lncRNA from 1 species